rnacentral:rRNA from 1 species
UACGUAGGGUGCAAGCGUUAAUCGGAAUUACUGGGCGUAAAGCGUGCGCAGGCGGUUAUGCAAGACAGGUGUGAAAUCCCCGGGCUCAACCUGGGAACCGCAUUUGUGACUGCAUGGCUAGAGUACGGUAGAGGGGGAUGGAAUUCCGCGUGUAGCAGUGAAAUGCGUAGAUAUGCGGAGGAACACCGAUGGCGAAGGCAAUCCCCUGGACCUGUACUGACGCUCAUGCACGAAAGCGUGGGGAGCAAACAGG